rnacentral:lncRNA from 1 species
AAACAAUUAUAUGUCAAACAUCAAAACUAAAUUAAACACUGCUGAAAACAGAUAAUGGUCAACACAAAAAACAGAGGGUAAAAACAUGCAAAAAUCAAUUCAUUAAAAACAAGUGAAACUGCGAGCUACUGCUCACUGAUGAUACCCCCGCCGCAAGUGGAUAAUAUUAAUAGUGUAAAAAUAUGCAAGUGUUCGGUAAACAGGAAGUUGUCGAGUGAUGAAUCUGAAAACGCAUCACACGGUAUAGCUGACUUAUAAAAAUCCUGAAACCAAAUUUCAAAAAUCCUUGUAUUGUAGUUCCUGAGAAAAAUGUGACGAAAAUUUUCAACUUGGCUAUCAUGUGUAAAAUCAUACAAGUGUUCGGUAAACAGGAAGUUGUCGAGUGAUGAAUCUGAAAACGCAUCACACGGUAUAGCUGACUUAUAAAAAUCCUGAAACCAAAAUUCAGAAAUCCUUGUAUUGUAGUUCCUGAGAAAAAUGUGACGAAAAUUUUCAACUUGGCUAUCAUGUGUAAAAUCAUACAAGUGUUCGGUAAACAGGAAGUUGUCGAGUGAUGAAUCUGAAAACGCA